UGACGGAUUAAGCCCUUCCUGGGCGCAGAGUGCCUCUGCUUGGAUCCCCAGUGGUGGCCUCGCUCUUCGCGGGUCCAGGCCUAUUGGCCAUCUGUGUGGGACGGCGCGACGAUUGCCAGCUGGAGUUGAAGAUGAGGCGUGUGUGCGUGCGUGCGUACUGUUCCAUUUGGAAGUCAAGGUUGGUGCCACCUAAGUGGGUUCCUCCUGCAAGGAAUUUGAGGACAUCCUCCUCCUUCAUUUGCAGGACAUCAUGGGCUCCGGUCACUGUGACAGUUUCUCUUUAAAUUACCUGGAAACCAAGAACAAGGCCGUAUGGACCCUUCUCCGGGUAGCACAGAAGGAAAGCUCUCUAAAGCUUUUAAUAUUAGUUAAUGUCAUGGCAAUGUGUACUUGAAAGUUGGUAAGAAUAGAUCUUAAGCAUUUCACCACAAAAUAUAUUAACUGUGAGUGUGUGGUGAUGGAACUGUUAAUUACUUAUGUAUCUCGGGGAAUCAUUUCUAAAUAUACAGACGUCGGAUCACCGUGUUUUAUGCUUUAAGUAUAUACAAUUAUAUUUAUUAAUUAUUCCUCAAAAAAUACUUUCAAAAGCACUUACUUUAGGAAACAAAUGUUUGACUUCUUUAUGUAUUGUCGUCUUUCAUUCUCUUCUCCCGCCCUCUCUCCAUUAUUUCUUCUAUUCUUUCAUUUUUUUCUAUUUUUCCCAAGCUGUAAGGCAUGUCAUAUAUGGGCUUCACAUCUCAAUAUCAGAAAUGAUGGCAAUGAUUGAAAACUAGUGACCAUAGAAUUUAUUGUACAAACCGUAACACUUUUGAGUGUGUGAAAGGCAUUACCAUGAUUACACUGGGACCAAAGUUGAAGUGGAAUCACCUGGAUACCCUACUUAGACUAUCACUUAAAGACUUAAGUAGCCCGAGGGAACAUUUUUGCAUUUCUGCACCAUUAGAGAGAAAAGAAAUGUAGCAGUGGCCCUUCUAUUUACUUCACAUAAGCAGUACCGAAUGCCACUUUUCUGUUUUAGCUAUCUUCUAUUCAGAAGAUUAUUUCAGGUCAAAGCAUUUAAAUGAUACUUUGUUUUAAAUUUCUUUUGUUUCUUAGAUGUUUGGCGGUGUUGCUUGGAUUUUUAGUAAAACCAUACACAAUAUUUGCUUUUAUUUAAAGCUUCUUUUUAACAGGUUCAAUUCAUGUGUUUUGAACGGGCACACUCUUUUUGUUUCAUUGUACCAACAGAAAGAGUGGUGUGUUUAAGAAAAAUGUUGGUAAAAUAUAUGCCUAGAAGUUUGUCUUAUAAAACCAAAACCGUCGUGUCCUUUGUAUACUUUUAAUGGCAUCAAAUCCAAAUUCUGCUAAGCUGGUUUACCACCCUGUUAUGUUUAUCUUGCAAGGGAAGGGCAACCACAGGACUAACGGAAGAGGAGUUGAAACCAUGCAAACUGUUCUGUGGGAUAUUUGCCUUUUAAAAUUCUCUCAAUAAAGUUUUACAGCUUUCUACAAA